rnacentral:rRNA from 1 species
CUGGUUGAUCCUGCCAGAGGUUACUGCUAUCGAGGUUCGACUAAGCCAUGCGAGUCGAAUGUAGCAAUACAUGGCGUACUGCUCAGUAACACGUGGACAACCUGCCCUUAGGUCGGGUGUAAACCCGGGAAACUGGGUAUAAUCCCCAACAGAUCUGGUCUGCUGGAAUGCUUCGAGAUUUAAAACUCCGGUGCCUAAGGAUGGGUCUGCGGCCUAUCAGGUUGUAGUGGGUGUAGUGUACCUACUAGCCUACGACGGGUACGGGUUGUGAGAGCAAGAGCCCGGAGAUGGAUUCUGAGACACGAAUCCAGGCCCUACGGGGUGCAGCGGGCGCGAAAACUUUACAAUGCUGGCAACAGCGAUAAGGGAACCUCGAGUGCCAGGUUACAAAUCUGGCUGUCGUGAUGCCUAAAAAGCAUUGCAUAGCAAGGGCCGGGCAAGACCGGUGCCAGCCGCCGCGGUAACACCGGCGGCUCGAGUGGUAACCGUUAUUAUUGGGUCUAAAGGGUCUGUAGCCGGCCGGGUAAGUCUCUUGGGAAAUCCAGCAGCUCAACUGUUGGGCUUUCAGGAGAUACUGCCUGGCUCGAGGCCGGGAGAGGUGAGAGGUACUUCAGGGGUAGGGGUGAAAUCUUGUAAUCCUUGAAGGACCACCAGUGGCGAAGGCGUCUCACCAGAACGGACCUGACGGCAAGGGACGAAAGCUAGGGGCACGAACCGGAUUAGAUACCCGGGUAGUCCUAGCCGUAAACGAUACUCGCUAGGUGUCGGCCACGGUGCGACCGCGGUCGGUGCCGUAGGGAAGCCGUGAAGCGAGCCACCUGGGAAGUACGGCCGCAAGGCUGAAACUUAAAGGAAUUGGCGGGGGAGCACCAC